UGUAGAUUGAACAGAAUUGUCUGAGUAUACAGCAAGUUUUAUCCAUUCCUCCUAGUAUCAAAUACUUGGAAUUGGACUCUUCACCAAAUGAGGCUCUUUAUUUCCAUUAUAUGAAUUGGUUGCUCUCUUGUUGCUGUCCAAAAACUAUUUCAUUCUUCUUCCAGAAUGAUCGUGGCAUGAAACCAUUCACGGUGUUUGUCUAUGAGUUGCUGAUGGGCAGAAAAAAGCAGGAGUGGUUUGACCAUUUUGGUGAUACAAAGUGUUGGUGGCAUGACUUGAAGAUUGUCAAGCUCACAUACUCAUUCAGCGUUGACGAGAAGGUUGACUUUAAGACCACGCUAAAUGCAUUAUUAUUGCCAACUGAUGACCCGGAAUCUGUUAGUUUUAGCUUAGAAUUAUAAUAUUCUUAUUAUCAACUGGUACAUAUUCCUAAUUAGAUUUACAAUUUUGACGUUACCACUAAGCAAGAUUUGGGUAUUGUAUUGAGUAUUUUUUUCCAAGGUUUUAUACUUACACCAAUUAAUAUUUUAUCCCUUUGUUGAUUGUGA